rnacentral:lncRNA from 1 species
UUCACCUUCUGAGGCCUCCCCAGCCAUGUGGAACUAGCCAUCUUUCUCCUCUCUUUUAACAAAGCACCCUCGCUGUUGGUCCCUGCAAGCUUCAAAGAAUAAAAGGCAAUGCAGAGAAGGCUGGAGAUCAGGAGAGCAAUGGUGUAUUUCCAGUUUGAGUCCGAAGGCCUGGGAGUCAGCAGAGCUGCUGGUAUAUUUAUGCCCAAAGGCCAAUAAACUCAAGACCCAGGAAAAGCCGAUGUUUCCAUUUGAGUCCAAAGGCCUUUGAAAGGGUCUCAGAAACCCCUGAGUACUCCCUGGAUCACACUUUGAGAACCACUACUGAGGACAAGAUAGAAAAGACCAGGGUCCCCAGUUGGUUGCAUGGAGCAGAACCCUCUAACCGCCCCACUCCCUACCCCUAGGACGAGCUACCAGCAUAGGUCUUCAUAUAAAUUGUAAAUAAACCUUCUACUACCUUAUGAA